rnacentral:rRNA from 1 species
UGGUCGGCUGAGACGGCCUUUAGCUCACCUGCUAAUUCAGCGCCUCCAAGCGGAUCGAUUUCAUCUGCGUGUAUUUUUAAUUCGAAGCCUGCCUCAGCUGCUUUUUGUAAAUAACGGCGGGAUUGGCUGACUGUAAAAACGCCUGUUUCUGUAAAAAUAUCAGCAAAGCUGGCGAGCUCCUGCUCUUUGAUUUCCGGCAAAAGGGAAAGCAUUUGAUCCAGAAAUUCAUCUGGAUCGUUUUGAUAUUCGGGAGGAAUCGCAUGGGCUCCCAUAAAUGUGGAAACAAGGUCAACAGGCUGGCUUUCAUGCAGUUUCUUUGCGACACGCAACUGUUUGAGCUCUGUCUCUUUUUCCAAGCCGUAGCCGCUUUUCACUUCUGCUGUGGUUGUGCCGUAGGACAGCAUUCUUUGCAGAUGAAAAUGGGCUUUUUGCAGCAGCUCUUCUUCUGAAGCCGCCCUGGUAUCCUUGACUGUAGACAGAAUCCCGCCGCCCUGCGCCAGAAUAUCCAAAUAUGAAAUGCCCUGAAGCUUAAGGUUCAUCUCCUUUUCACGAGAUCCGCCAAAUACAAGAUGGGUGUGCGGAUCAACGAGGCCAGGCGUUACAAGGCGUCCCGAACAGUCAAUGAUUUCGUCUGCCUCGUAACCGGCUUCAGCCCCUUUUUGUCCGGCGAACACAAUUUUCUGUUCAUGGAUGCCGACAACAGCGUCUUCGAUCACAUGAAGAUCCUGCAUGCUUUUGCCUGCCCGCGGACCGUUGCUUUCCAUUGUCAAAAGCUGACCGAUGUUGAUGAGAAUCGUAUCAAUUUGCUUUGGCAUGUCAUCACUCCUUUAUUUUUGCAUCGGCACGAUAAUGUCCUGUUCCUUCGCUACUUCAACGGCACGUUCAUAACCCGCAUCCGCAUGACGGAUAAUGCCCAUUCCUGGGUCGCUCGUUAAGACCCGCGCGAGCCGCUCGUCAGCCAGCUCACUUCCAUCGGCCACUGCAACCAUGCCGGCAUGCAGGGAAUAGCCCAUUCCGACGCCGCCGCCAUGGUGGAAGGAAACCCAGCUUGCACCCGCCGCCGUGUUGACAAGCGCAUUUAGCACAGCCCAGUCACCAACAGCGUCACUUCCGUCCUUCAUCGCUUCUGUCUCCCGGUUUGGAGAGGCGACAGACCCGCAGUCCAAAUGAUCUCUCCCAAUAACGACAGGCGCUUUUAGCUCCCCGCUUCUAACCAGCUCGUUAAUGGCGAGGCCCAUCUUUUUUCGUUCUCCAUAUCCAAGCCAGCAAAUACGGGACGGCAAGCCUUGGAAGGUGACUUUUUCCUGUGCCAUAUCAAUCCAGCGGUGAAGGGCUUUAUUUGUCGGGAACAGCUCUUUUAAUAACGCAUCCGUACGGUAAAUAUCUGCCGGAUCUCCGGAAAGCGCCGCCCAACGGAACGGCCCUUUUCCUUCACAGAAUAAGGGGCGGAUGUAGGCAGGGACAAAACCCGGAAAAUCGAAGGCAUUCUCCAGCCCUUCAUCCUUUGCGACUUGCCGGAUAUUGUUGCCGUAGUCAAAUACAAUAGAGCCCUUU